CAGCAGCCGCGGUAAUACGGAGGAUGCAAGCGUUAUCCGGAUUUAUUGGGUUUAAAGGGUGCGCAGGUUGUUUGAUAAGUCAGUGGUGAAAGUCUGUCGCUUAACGGUAGGAUUGCCAUUGAUACUGUUGGACUUGAAUAUGGAUGAGGUAGGCGGAAUGUGUAGUGUAGCGGUGAAAUGCAUAGAUAUUACACAGAACACCGAUUGCGAAGGCAGCUUACUAAUCCAUCAUUGACGCUGAGGCACGAAAGCGUGGGGAUCAAACAGGAUUAGAUACCCUGGUAGUCCACGCCGUAAACGAUGAUCACUCGCUGUUUGCGAUAUACAGUAAGCGGCUAAGCGAAAGCGUUAAGUGAUCCACCUGGGGAGUACGAUCGCAAGGUUGAAACUCAAAGGAAUUGACGGGGGCCCGCACAAGCGGAGGAACAUGUGGUUUAAUUCGAUGAUACGCGAGGAACCUUACCUGGGCUUAAAUGGGGGACGACAGCUGCUGAAAGGUGGUUUUCUUCGGACGUUCUUCAAGGAGGUGCAUGGCC
rnacentral:rRNA from 1 species